UGGGGAUAUUGCACAAUGGGCGAAAGCCUGAUGCAGCGACGCCGCGUGAGGGAAGACGGUUUUCGGAUUGUAAACCUCUGUCUUCGGGGACGAAAAUGACGGUACCCGAGGAGGAAGCCACGGCUAACUACGUGCCAGCAGCCGCGGCAAUACGUAGGUGGCAAGCGUUGUCCGGAUUUACUGGGUGUAAAGGGCGUGUAGCCGGGUCUGCAAGUCAGAUGUGAAAUCCAUGGGCUUAACCCAUGAACUGCAUUUGAAACUGUGGAUCUUGAGUGCUGGAGGGGCAAUCGGAAUUCCUAGUGUAGCGGUGAAAUGCGUAGAUAUUAGGAGGAACACCAGUGGCGAAGGCGGAUUGCUGGACAGUAACUGACGGUGAGGCGCGAAAGUGUGGGGAGCAAACAGGAUUAGAUACCCUGGUAGU
rnacentral:rRNA from 1 species